UGGGGAAUAUUGCACAAUGGGCGCAAGCCUGAUGCAGCCAUGCCGCGUGUGUGAAGAAGGCCUUCGGGUUGUAAAGCACUUUCAGCGAGGAGGAAGGUGGUGAACUUAAUACGUUCAUCAAUUGACGUUACUCGCAGAAGAAGCACCGGCUAACUACGUGCCAGCAGCCGCGGUAAUACGUAGGGUGCAAGCGUUAAUCGGAAUUACUGGGCGUAAAGCGUGCGCAGGCGGUUCGGAAAGAAAGAUGUGAAAUCCCAGAGCUUAACUUUGGAACUGCAUUUUAACUACCGGGCUAGAGUGUGUCAGAGGGAGGUGGAAUUCCGCGUGUAGCAGUGAAAUGCGUAGAUAUGCGGAGGAACACCGAUGGCGAAGGCAGCCUCCUGGGAUAACACUGACGCUCAUGCACGAAAGCGUGGGGAGCAAAACAGGAUUAGAUACCCUGGUAGUCCACGCUGUAAACGAUGUCGAUUUGGAGGUUGUGCCCUUGAGGCGUGGCUUCCGGAGCUAACGCGUUAAAUCGACCGCCUGGGGAGUACGGCCGCAAGGUUAAAACUUAAAAUGAAUUGACGGGGUCAUAGCUGUUUCCUG
rnacentral:rRNA from 1 species